GAUGAACGCUGGCGGCGUGCUUAACACAUGCAAGUCGAACGAUGAUCUCCAGCUUGCUGGGGGGAUUAGCGGCGAACGGGUGAGUAACACGUGAGUAACCUGCCCUUAACUCUGGGAUAAGCCUGGGAAACUGGGUCUAAUACCGGAUAUGACUCCUCAUCGCAUGGUGGGGGGUGGAAAGCUUUUUGUGGUUUUGGAUG
rnacentral:rRNA from 1 species